rnacentral:rRNA from 1 species
UCUCCCACGACUACAUAAGUGGAAUUGUUAAAAGGCGGAUUUAUCUGCCGCUCAUGGAUGGGCCUGCGGUGCAUUAGCUAGUUGGUGAGAUAGUAGCUCACCAAGGCGACGAUGCAUAGCCGGACUGAGAGGUUGAACGGCCACAUUGGGACUGAGACACGGCCCAGACUCCUACGGGAGGCAGCAGUGGGGGAUAUUGCACAAUGGGGGAAACCCUGAUGCAGCGACGCCGCGUGGAGGAAGAAGGUUUCGGAUUGUAAACUCCUGUCGUAAGGGACGAUAAUGACGGUACCUUACAAGAAAGCCACGGCUAACUACGUGCCAGCAGCCGGUCGACGCGGCCG